CUCCUCCUCCACCAGUAUACAUAUACUCAUCACCUCCGCCACCAAAUUCACCUCCUCCUCCACCGCCAACAUACGUAUAUUCUUCACCUCCUCCACCUCCUUCCCCAUUGCCUUGUAUAGAACCCCCUCCACCACCUCCUCCUUGCAUUGAACCACCCCCACCCCCCUCCCCUUCACCAUCUCCUCCUCCACCACCGGUUUAUCAUUACAAUUCUCCGCCCCCACCAUCUCCAUCACCUCCACCACCAGUUUAUUAUCAUUACAAUUCUCCGCCCCCACCAUCUCCAUCACCUCCACCACCAGUUUAUUAUUACAAUUCUCCACCACCACCAUCACCACCGCCUACUCCAGUAUACGAAGGGCCAUUACCACCAGUAAUAGGAGUUCAAUAUGCUUCACCACCUCCACCACC
rnacentral:lncRNA from 1 species